ACUCACAAACCUUUCUGCAAAACAAGUUGAAGAGCCUAUACUUCUUGAAAAAAACACAAAUUCAACUCUAAGACUAUGGAUAGAUUACCUAAACUUAACUCCUCUUACCUUCUUAACUAGGGCAUCCAAAUGUUACGCCAAUAGAACAUCCAUCAUCUAUGGUGGUGUUCGUUUCACAUGGAGCCAAACCUACGAGCGUUGUUGUCGCCUCGCUUCCUCUCUCCGAUCCUUGAGCAUGUCAAGAACGACGUGGAUUUAUGGUACCAAAAAGGUGAAAUUUGUGGAAGAACUGCCUAAGACUGCAACUGGAAAAGUACAGAAACACGAUUUGAGAGCAAUAGCUAAGACUUUUGUUAUUUCAGAAACACGAUUCUUGAUGUGGUGACGUUGUUGGAUUGUAAUAAGGGCUCGUUUGAUUCGAAGACAAGUUAUAUAUGAAUUACACUGUGAGGAUUAUUUAUGUAUGAAUUAGUAAUACAUGAACUAUGUCCUUGGUGGGUGUUUGAUUCA